rnacentral:rRNA from 1 species
UACGUAGGUGACAAGCGUUGUCCGGAUUACUGGGCGUAAAGAGCGCGCAGGCGGUCGAUCAAGUCGAGUGUGAAAGCCCCCGGCUCAACUGGGGAGGGUCAUUCGAUACUGAUCGACUCGAAGGCAGGAGAGGGUAGUGGAAUUCCCGGUGUAGUGGUGAAAUGCGUAGAUAUCGGGAGGAACACCAGUGGCGAAGGCGACUACCUGGCCUGUUCUUGACGCUGAGGCGCGAAAGCUAGGGGAGCAAACGGGG